UUAAAUAGUAAUUGGACGGGGCCCGCACAAGCGUGGAGCAUGUGGUUUAAUUCGAUGCAACGCGAAGAACCUUUACCUGGGCUUUGACAUCCCGGGAACUCCCCUGGAAACGAGGGGAGUGCCCUUCGGGGAACCCGGUGACAGGUGCUGCAUGGCUGUCGUCAGCUCGUGUCGUGAGAUGUUGGGUUAAGUCCCGCAACGAGCGCAACCCUUGUCUUUAAUUGCCAUCAUUUAGUUGGGGCACUUUAAAGGGACUGCCGGUGUUAAACCGGAGGAAGGUGGGAUGACGUCAAGUCCUCAUGGCCUUUAUGACCAGGGCUACACACGUACUACAAUGGCCGAUACAAAGGGCAGCGACAUUGCGAAAUGAAGCCAAUCCCAUAAAUUCGGUCUCAGUCCGGAUUGGAGUCUGCAACUCGACUCCAUGAAGUUGGAAUCGCUAGUAAUCGUGGAUCAGCAUGCCACGGUCGAAUACGUUCCCGGGCCUU
rnacentral:rRNA from 1 species